rnacentral:rRNA from 1 species
GUUUGAUCCUGGCUCAGGAUGAACGCUGGCGGUGUGCCUAAGGUAUGCAAGUCGAACGGUUCAUAUUUUCUAGCAAUAGUUAAUAUGAGCAGUGGCAGACGGCUGAGUAGCACGUAGGAAUCUUCCUCUAAGUUGGGCAUAGCCAUUCGAAAGGAUGGGUAAUUCCCAAUGGUCCCGCAAGGGUAAAGUUUUUUCGCUUAGAGAUGAGCCUGCGGCCUAUCAGGUAGUUGGUGAGGUAAAAGCCCACCAAGCCUAUGACGGGUAACUGGUCUGAGAGGAUGUCCAGUCAGAAUGGAACUGCGAUACGGUCCAUACUCCUACGGGAGGCAGCAAUUAGGAAUCUUGCGCAAUGGACGAAAGUCUGACGCAGCGACACCGCGUGGAGGAUGAAGGCCUUCGGGUUGUAAACUCCUUUUAUUGGGGAACAAGUUCUGAGUGUACCCAACGAAUAAGGACCCCCUAACUACGUGCCAGAAGGGUCGGUGAUGCGUAGGGUCCAAGCGUUAUCCGGAAUUAUUGGGCGUAAAGAGAUGCGUAGGCGUCUUCUUAAGUCUUUCGUUAAAUCUUACGGCUCAACCGUGAACUUGCGAGGGAAACUAGGAAGAUUGAGAAAGUCAGGGGCAAGUGGAAUUCCUGGUGGAGCGGUGGAAUGCGUUGAUAUCAGGAGGAACACCAAUGGCGAAGGCAGCUUGCUGGGGCUUUUCUGACGCUAAGGCUCGAAAGCAUGGGGAGCAAAACGGAUUAGAUACCCGUGUAGUCCAUGCUGUAAACAAUCCCUGUUAGGUGUCUGUUCAAGACAAGGUAUUAACUUCGGUUAAUUCAAUGUUUUGGGUAGGUGUCGCAGUUAACACGUUAAACAGGGCGCCUGGGGAGUACGGCCGCAAGGCUAAAACUCAAAGGAAUUGACGGGGACUCGCACAAGCAGUGGAGCGUUUGGUUUAAUUCGAUGCUAACCGAAGAACCUUACCAGGGCUUGAACUGUAGCUGCACAUCCUGUGAAAGCAGGAUUCCUUCGAGGGUGCUACAGAGGUGCUGCAUGGCUGUCGUCAGCUCGUGUCGUGAGAUGCUGGGUUAAGUCCCGCAACGAGCGCAACCCCUACUCAGUGUUAUAUAUUUCUCUGAGGACUGCUCUGCCAAAACGGAGAGGAAGGUGGGGACGACGUCUAGUCAUCAUAGCCCUUAUGUCCUGGGCUACACAAGCGCUACAAUGACAAAUACAACGGGUUGCCAAACCGCGAGGUGGAGCUAAUCCCCUAAAAUUUGUCUCAGUUCAGAUUGCAGGCUGAAAUUCGCCUGCAUGAAGUCGGAAUUGCUAGUAAUCGUGGAUCAGCAUGCCACGGUGAAUACGUUCUCGAGUCUUGUACACACCGCCUGUCAAGUCACGGAAGUCGGUCUUACCCGAAGGCUCCCAGCG